rnacentral:lncRNA from 1 species
UUGUGAAUUAACAUUGAAGAAACGUGUCAUUCUUGAGAGAAAAAGAAAUAAUUGAUUUCGCUGGGGUUCUUUGUUUCAGCCGAUUACUCGAAAGUUCAAUCACACUCGGCGAUGUCGAGCUGUCACUCAUGAAAAUCAGCCCCCAGCGAUGCAUAUUUCGUACAUGAAUAACGGAUGCUCAAUGCUAAUUGGAACAGCAUAUAUACGAACGGAUGAAAACAGUCAACGAACGAGGGUGGUAGAGAAAAAAGCAGGAAGAUUGAAGUGCGUGGCUAAUUGGAGGCAGGGCUCAACGGUAUUGGGGCAGUUUUCCUCGUCGCUUGCAUCGCCGCAAUCGUCGUCUCCGUCGCAUCGGUACUCAAUCUUUAUGCACCGAGGUGUAGCGCACUCGAAGUAAUUUUCUCCGCAAUGAACAUCUUGGAAUAUUUCUGGGGAACCAAGCGCAAGACCACCCGUUCAAACAAGUCGAAAAAGUCCUUUUCAUGACUUUUUGAGCGAUUUGACAGAUCCGGACUCAUGAAUUGUGCACGAUUUUGGAAUUUGACUGGUUAGAGAAACUCACCGCAUUUCGCUUCGUCGGAACCAUCACGACAAUCGUAUUCACCGUCGCAUCUGUACUCGUUCAUGAUGCACAUUCCGUCCGGACAAGUGAAUUCAUCUUCUUUGCAUUUCCUGAAAAAAUGCACGAGCCACCGCUAUAGUUUCCAUACGGAGUGUUUCGAACAAAUGAAAGAAAAAACGAAGACGAGAAAUAUGUUGCCCACGCGAUGGGCUUGGAAAAACAAUGCUGUACGCGAGAUAGAAUGAGAGGAGUGAUCAUUCAUGCUGCAAAAGUUUCGCACACCUAGUGAGUGGAGUAUUAAUUUCCUAUGGAGCAGCUAUAUCGGGUUGGAUGUCACCCGACACGUACACCCUUUGUCAGCUACGUGUACCCUAUUCAUUGCUUCAUUCAGAGCUAAAAUUCGAGUGAACGAGCACGAUCCCCCAAAUUUUCGACGGAAUAUGUGCUCUCCGAAAAAAUGGACCCCUCCGCAGUACGGUGAUCUCAUGUACCAGAUGAAGAACUACCCACCCUGCCUCGCAAUCACAUUUCCUAGCUCAAAUUACCCCACAGCAGAUAUGCUUCAGGGAUCAGGGGAGAAAAACAGAGGGAAGCUGAAUGAAAAAACUUCCAGGACAAGACUGAGGUACUCCGGGAGCGACGCAUGGGGAGUCAAAAAUCACGAGAGGGUCGUCGACGAAAAUCGAUCUACCGAGUCUGUGAAUAUGGACAAGAGCAUCGAGAUCGCAGAAGGAACUCCAAGUGCGAACUACAUUCACGAUUUCAUCGGCCUUACUGAUUGAAAGAUUUGGAUAUUUAUAAAGUGGAGAGAAAAUAUGUUUUGGUCGGUACACAUCCACGAUUGAUUCUUCUCGAGAACACACGAGGCUGAAAAGGGAGAACUUUUUCUUCCGGGCAAGAAGUCAAACGUGUCGUUAAGGGCCGACGCUUUCGUAUGCCUGUAUCAUCUUGAUCUAUAGCGAAUUAUGAUAUAGAUAUUGAAGGAUGUAUGCUGUGUCGUAGGGAAGACGAGACGUGGGCGAAAAAAUCUCAGCGUGGGCAGCUGAUACUCCGACAUCAAAAUAAGUCUCCUACAGAAGGAAUGCCUCUCGACAAUGGCGAAAAAAUCGAAUUACAGAUGCGUAUACGACCGACUCGACCUUUAUCAUCGAGCAAUAUCGACUCUGCUAUCCGGAGCUUCGUCGAGGGCGCAGUCUUCUUCGUCCGAGUAAUCCAUGCAAUCGUUGUCUCCGUCGCAGAGCCAGGCCCUCUCGACGCACAAACCGUUUCGACACUGAAACUGCUCCUCCGUGCAAUUCAAUCGAUUUCCUGCGACAAAAAAGCCACCAGUUUUGCAAAACUUGGAGAAAUUGAGCAACCUUCGCUUCUCUAGCCUCCAAAGAAUCUCUCUUCAUGGCAAUCAGCCCGGUAGAGGUACCAACCGCAAGGCGCCUCGUCCGAAUAAUCUCCACAGUCAUCGUCACCGUCGCAUAUCCACGAGUCUGAUAUGCAAUGCCCGGAUAUAGGACAGCGGCGAUUCCUUUGCCCGUAACAAUUUCCGUUCGAGUUUCUCUCCUCCAGUACCUCGUCGCAGUUCACUUCGUCCUCGUUGUUCUCGCAAUCCAUCUGACAAACGAUAACCGAACAUUUCAUAAGAGGAUUCCUCGCAUUCGAGCUAGAGAGAUCGUCGUCGUACGAGAAAAAUGAGUUGAAUGACACGAAAAUUUCGGCACCUUUCCAUCGCAACGCUGUUCCAUGCUGACACAAAUGCACGAACUAGAGCAAAGGAAAUAACCACCGAGGCAAAUCCAUCCGCAGGGUGCAACGAAGUCGGUGAAAUCGCUUUCAUCCUCGAGCUCCUGUAUCAGUGUCUUUUGAUCAGGCCCGAAUCGGUCAGGAUCAGCUUCACCGACCGGCCCUACACCGUGACCACGCUCCAGGCCAUUGUUGAACCUCGAACGAUCGGCAACCUCCCGAUCUUCGUAUCCUGCUCGCAACAAUUCGAACAUGCAACUGUAAAUGCAGUUGUUGGUGCGCUCUGGGAAUUGAGGGCAGCUGGAGGAUCAAUCCCGUGUGCACACUCUUACGUUCAAAACAUUUUCCGGAAAAGGAGGAAAGCGUUUGCUCAAAUGAAGCACCGUAAACUCCACCUCGUCCCCGGCCACCGCGAUCAACACCGCGUGACAUUCCACCUGUACGUCCUUGUCCAUAAAUCCCGCCGUUUGAAACGGGUAUACGCAUGCCAUUUACCGGUGCGCCAUUUCUGUAACUGGGAACGUCACUCGGCUGAUGAUAGUCCGAGGGUUGUCCGGGUAUUCUUGGGAACAUUCCCGGUGUCAGGUGGAAAGGAUUACGAGCGAGAAGAAGCAGCAGAUUGGAUUAAUAAACUCGAGGGAAAAGUCCACUCGUUCUUGUUUCAAUGGGCUAGGUGAAAGAAUACUUUGAGGGUUUAAAGUGGCCUGUUCCGCCGAAGCAGCGAACCGAGAUCCUCUGUGCUAUUGGGCUGUGAACUCACUUCGAAGUAGUUGAAACUGAAAACUUGGUGGAAGCCAUGCACACCGUCGAAGUACGUGGAUCCAUGGUCCAAGUUUGAUUUAAUUGACGCUCAUUUUACCAGCUACGUUGGAAACGGUGUGGGAGCGGAUGAUGUAAUGCGAUGGUGUACCUCGGGUGCGAAAUGGGUAAUGGAUUUGGAAAAUUCAUUGGACAGUCACGAAUCCAUGAAUGACUGGAGACAGCGCGGAGGCAUGAAUUCCUGGAACUCAACGAUCACGGGUAUAAACUGGAGUCCCCAGAGAGAGGGAGAGAGAGAGAGAAGCUGGAACGUUUCAUCGUACGAACGGUUGCGCAUGAAAGUUUGAUAACUCCAUGGAGACCUGGACUCGCAUCAGGAUCAUAGUACAUACAAAAUUCUAUAUGUAUUCAUACACUGACCUGUCCAUAACGAGAGGAUGAUAAAAAGAAGAGGCAUGGGUUGUUUUAUAGUCCGGGCCAUCAGGUCGUCCGCGCUCGACCUCAUUUUUCGAGUGCUCCAAGCGCGAGGGUCUCGAGUUUUCAACAUCGAUCAGGUGAGAGAGCCCUCUUCGAAUCUAGCUCGCGUCUUGCGUCUAAGCUUUUGUCAUCCAGCAAUAUAAACUUGGAAUAAAUUCGUGCUUAUUCAACCAUUGGCUCGUGAGACAUUGUCAUCCUGUUGAUUGCUCUCGAUGAAGCAUCGAAUGAAAAGUCACUGAGAACGAAAACAAUCACUAAAAUCGCACUGUAUUAUCAAUUCGCUCGUCAGGCUCGCCGUUGACAAUUAAAAGUGCAGAUUCUCCGGCCACCGAGUUUCUUCCACUCUGGAGCUUGAUUCAAUCACAUUUACAUCUAAGAUCAUAAAUGCUGAUCCGAGGAUCGAGGCGAGGUAGCCGGAUAUUAACAGCCUGUUGUAGAACCGAGCUACGCAAUUUUCCAGCACGUCGACGAGAACUCUCAACGGUUUCCAAGCAACUAGUGCAUCGGACCGAAUUUCCGCAUUUUUUUUCCAAGUAUCGAACUUUUUCCGAACAUCGUAUGCUGUCAAAGUUGUCUUUUCUCUCGUACCAAACUCGAUUAAAGCAGAUAAAGUCUUUUCAUCUCUGCUGUCGUAAGGAGAGCGCAACACCCUCCGCACGGGAAGGGUUGAUGCGAUUCCUCCUUCGUGGAUUUUUCUCUAAUGAUUCGCCUACAUAUUAGUGCCCCUGGGAGUAAUUUUUAUAAAUUAUUUCAGCUCGUUUCAUCAAAAUAAUGUCGAGUUAACGCGUUUACACGAUUAUCAGCGGAGGGCGAGCGCUUAUCAACUUCAGCACAUGUGCCACCGAGGGUUUCACGAUCCCGACUGGAGGGUGUCGACGAGACUCGUACAGGACCGGGCGACCGACGCAGAAUCUAACGCGCAGGAGUCGUAAAAAGCUGCCCCGAUACUAUAUAUGGAAAUAGAUAUUCAAAUAUAUAUGAAUAUUUUUACCAA